rnacentral:rRNA from 1 species
AACGAACGCUGGCGGCGUGCCUAACACAUGCAAGUCGCGCGAGAAAGUGGGGGCAACCCCACGAGUAAAGCGGCGCACGGGUGAGUAAUACGUAGGUAACCUACCUUCGAGAUCGGGAUAACCUUCCGAAAGGAGGGCUAAUACUGGAUAAGACCACGGAGCUUCCGCUCUGGGGUUAAAGGUGGCCUCUGCUCGCAAGCCACCGCUAGAAUAUGGGCCUGCGCACCAUUAGCUAGGUGGUGGGGUAACGGCUCACCAAGGCGAGGAUGGUUAGCUGAUCUGAGAGGAUGAUCAGCCACACUGGGACUGAGACACUGCCCAGGCUCCUACGGGAGGCAGCAGUGGGGAAUCUUGGACAAUGGGGGAAACCCUGAUCCAGCGCCGCCGCGUGGGUGAAGAAGGCCUUCGGGUCGUAAAGCCCUGUCGGGGGGGAAGAAACUUCCGCCGGUGAACAAUCGGCGGAAUUGACGGUACCCCCUAAGGAAGCACCGGCUAACUCCGUGCCAGCAGCCGCGGUAA